AAUUUAUGGAUUCACUUUGUUAUCGUUUUUUUUAGAAAAAGCUAAACAACUAAUCACGAUCUUCUACACUUGUCUGGACCAUCAAUGAUAGCAUUAUGCGGGAUAGAGGAACAGAAGCAGAAGUAUUUACCUUCUUUGGCCUAGUUAAAAACUGUAGCUUGUUGGGCUUUGACUGAGCCUGACUAUGGAAGUGAUGUGAGUUCUCUGAAGACAACUGCAACAAA